GUGCCCGUAACUCAGCUGGAUAGAGUACCUGGCUACGAACCAGGGUGUCGCGUGUUCGAAUCACGCCGGGCACGCCA
rnacentral:tRNA from 1 species